GCCAGGCGCUGCCCUCAGUGUCCCCAAGUCCGGGCCGCGGCCGCCGCCCCCGCCUGGGCCGCGCUCCCCCUCUCCCGCUCCCUCCCUCCCUGCUCCAACUCCUCCUCCUUCUCCAUGCCUCUGUUCCUCCUGCUCUUACUUGUCUUGCUCCUGCUGCUCGAGGACGCUGGAGCCCAGCAAGGUGAUGGAUGUGGACACACUGUACUAGGCCCUGAGAGUGGAACCCUUACAUCCAUAAACUACCCACAGACCUAUCCCAACAGCACUGUCUGUGAAUGGGAGAUCCGUGUAAAGAUGGGAGAGAGAGUUCGCAUCAAAUUUGGUGACUUUGACAUUGAAGAUUCUGAUUCUUGUCACUUUAAUUACUUGAGAAUUUAUAAUGGAAUUGGAGUCAGCAGAACUGAAAUAGGCAAAUACUGUGGUCUGGGGUUGCAAAUGAACCAUUCAAUUGAAUCAAAAGGCAAUGAAAUCACAUUGCUGUUCAUGAGUGGAAUCCAUGUUUCUGGACGCGGAUUUUUGGCCUCAUACUCUGUUAUAGAUAAACAAGAUCUAAUUACUUGUUUGGACACUGCAUCCAAUUUUUUGGAACCUGAGUUCAGUAAGUACUGCCCAGCUGGUUGUCUGCUUCCUUUUGCUGAGAUAUCUGGAACAAUUCCUCAUGGAUAUAGAGAUUCCUCGCCAUUGUGCAUGGCUGGUGUGCAUGCAGGAGUAGUGUCAAACACGUUGGGCGGCCAAAUCAGUGUUGUAAUUAGUAAAGGUAUCCCCUAUUAUGAAAGUUCUUUGGCUAACAACGUCACAUCUGUGGUG
rnacentral:lncRNA from 1 species